rnacentral:rRNA from 1 species
AGCGAACGCUGGCGGCAGGCCUAACACAUGCAAGUCGAACGAAGUCGUCGGACUUAGUGGCGGACGGGUGAGGAACACGUGGGAACGGGCCUUUAGGGUCGGAAUAACUCAGGGAAACUUGUGCUAAUACCGAAUGUGCCCUUCGGGGGAAAGAUUUAUCGCCUUUAGAGCGGCCCGCGUCUGAUUAGGUAGUUGGUGAGGGAAAGGCUCACCAAGGCGACGAUCAGUAGCUGGUCUGAGAGGAUGAUCAGCCACAUUGGGACUGAGAAACGGCCCAAACUCCUACGGGAGGCAGCAGUGGGGAAUCUUGCGCAAUGGGCGAAAGCCUGACGCAGCCAUGCCGCGUGAAUGAUGAAGGUCUUAGGAUUGUAAAAUUCUUUCACCGGGGACGAUAAUGACGGUACCCGGAGAAGAAGCCCCGGCUAACUUCGUGCCAGCCGCCGCCGUAA